rnacentral:rRNA from 1 species
CGACCUGCUAAAUAGUUGAUCGAACUCUUCGGGGUUCGCAUUAACUUCUUAGAGGGACUUUUGGACGAGUAGCCAAAGGAAGUUCGAGGCAAUAACAGGUCUGUGAUGCCCUUAGAUGUUCUGGGCCGCACGCGCGCUACACUGAUCGGUUCAUCGAGUUUACAACCUUGACUGAUAAGUCUGGGUAAUCUUGUAAAGCCGGUCGUGCUGGGGAUAGAUCAUUGCAAUUAUUGAUCUUCAACGAGGAAUUCCUAGUAAACGCGAGUCAUCAACUCGCAUUGAUUACGUCCCUGCCCUUUGUACACACCGCCCGUCGCU